GUGGCGUGGUGCUGGAAACGGGUGGCGUGCGUGCGUGCUUGGGGGUGUGCUGCUGGAAAGGGUGUGGGGCGUGGAGGAGGAGGGUUGCUGGUCUCGUACCAGCCCGGAAGCGGCGGCCGGCGGCGGGCGGGUAGGUGCCAGUUCGGAGGCGGCGGCGAGGUGCCGGUUCGGAGGCGGCGGCAAACGUCGGCGGUACCUUACGGACCUACAGCAGUUCUACGUGCGUCCACGUCGUGGACGUUGCCUUGCCUUCUGGUGGCUACGAGACGAGAACUCUGUUGUCUACGUGCGUCUCCGAUCUAUGUAUGUAUCGUUAGCAGUCCGAGGUCAAAACAUGACUGGUGAGGUUCCGAACAAGUUGGACCACUUAGAAAGGAAGUAGACGUAGCAAAAAGCGAAGUCAGACAUGUAGGAGCGGGAGGCGGGUGGCUAGGAUAAGAGGCGGCGGGCGGAAGGAGACGAGGAGGAGACGGCGGUUGCUAGAGUAGACUCGGUCAUGUCUUAUAACGGUGAGUAGUUGUAGACGUUGUAGAUUCACUUCACUAAUACACCUAGAACACUCCUUUUGUCUAUCCGGUUAUUCGGACCCUCCAACAGAUGUCAGUGACCGGACCGGAACUACGUAAGGUCAGUCUCUUCCACUACCUCUGGGAAUCUGUCGAACGUCUUCUACCCGUGUGCCAGUAUACGAGAUAUGUGGUCGGCUCUCCGAGUCAGAUAUCGUUUACACUACUGUAACACGAUGAGAGUCUCCCUCUUCAACAUAUAUACCCCGGCCGUUUUCUUCUUGGAGAUUUUAUGAAACGCAGUAAUCCCAUGGUUACGGGUCCAGUACUCUUGGGGCGACUCAAGAACCGACUAGAGUAAAGGUGACUAAUAUCGAGUCGACUUUCACAUGUCAGUAGUGUAUUUUCCUAACUCUUGGAUUAACUACUAAAACGUUUAUUCCAAGAUUAAUGACUUAAAUUGUCAGGUCAUUGUGUCAGCCUCCCGAGACUUAAAAGAUGGUUUGGACGAGUCUUCAGGUGAUCGUUCGUUUCUGCACCAACCACCUCUGUUAAAGCAAACUAUAAGUUCUCUCGUACCUACGUACAAAAAGUGCCUCGGAACAGACUAUCACAGAAGGUCGAAAAAAGGAUGAAGACGGAACUUUAAGCAACUAUCCAAUAAAACCGCACACACAAAUCGAAUUUUAUUUGGCCUGGAUAUGACAUCGUUUAAGUCCCCUAGAUAGAAAAGUUAUAAAUGACAUUCAACUGUGAACCACCGUACAACACGAAAGUGGUUGAGACACCGACUACAUCGACGUUGUACAUUGAUGACGUACUUUACACGAAAAACACUACCUGGUUGUUUGUUUCACUCUCGUUCUUACAUACAAUGAAGUUGUUAAUAUAAACCUAGUCACAAGACCGCUUACCCCUUUUGAGUUUGAAGGUAUGUUCUAUCCUACCCUGAAGAAGUCCACCGACGGUAUUUGUGUCGUUACCGACGAGACUGUUUCUGCCACCCCCAAAAGGGCUUUCUUGCUCGAUAUCAACUGUCCUUGCACGUUUCCCAAGGAUACGUGAUCCUGGUAUAGAGAGAAGAUUCUACGACCGGCUCUAAGGCUAACCUCGUCGUAAAGGUAACUAUAAACCUAGGUAAGAGAUAGGUUACCGAUUUGAAGUAGGAUGUCAAAGAUCCAGUCAUAAUAGGAGUGUAGUUUCAACUUUCACAACGCGCUGUGGUAUCAGGUACGGUGUACCAUCUUAAACCGUAACCAAAUCGAAUACGUAUAAGGAUUGUUUAUAAAGUACGCGGCAUAAGAAUUGUUUAUAAAGUACGUAUCACAACUCGUCCACUUAAAGAUGAAAUACAAAGAUUAAGAGAAAAAAAAUUACAAAGGUAAUGAAAAAUAACUUUAGACGAGUUACCCUACUCUUCACCUGGAAACUGACCUUGAUAAAAAAUGAUAACAAAGAGGUUAAAAGGUAAGUCGGUAAGAACCUUCUUACGUUGACGUCGAAUUAACCUCAACUUGACCUCCAUUGUAAACCUUAAUGAACCUUCAACCUUGUGUUCACCUCACACAAUACUGCUAACGAGUUUCCUUGAAACCAGUAUAACGAACUGUUGUACAGUUAGUGAGAAGACGUUGAGUCUAUUUUUGUUAAACUUAAUUUUUUUACGUUUUAGCUCAAACUCAACUAUCCCAUAUAUAUUAUAGACUUUUGUUUAUCUUUUGUACGGUCACAAGGCUCUUACGUUGUAGGGUCAGGUGCUGUUCUUUUUUACUAGUCGAUUUAAAGAACUGAGUAUUGUUCUCAGUCACCGAACGUAAGAGGGUUUACGAAACAUAGUAAACAACUUUAAGAUCUGAGGAAAAUAAGGUAUAACAACUAUAGAUACGUUGAUCUCGUCGAUUUAAUAAUUCACAAAAAAUCAUGUGGACUAGUUUUUGUCAACAACUGGAAAACGCUCACGUGGAAACGUUUAUGACCAUCUUUCAACACGUAGACACGGACGGUUCGACAUUGUCCGUCACAAGUGUCCGACUAUAUAAAAAACUAAGCCACUAAACUAACUAGUGUUGGGCUGGUCGUGUUACAUAGAAGAUACCGAACGUGAAAUACAGGUGUAAAUGAUAUCACUACCUGAUAGAUUCCGAGUCGUUUUAAAGAUGUUCUUAUGUUGAAAGCGACUUUCGGAUAAGAAUAUAAACAAAGAUAAGAGUUGUAAGUAAAAAUAAACACAGGAGUGACGCAAGAAGGAAAGAUCCUUAGUCCAGAUAUAAAAAAAAAUGGUAAGUUCCGUAUACACGUGUGUCUUCGGCAAAACGUACAUAGACUUAGAAGGACAGACCAUGAACACGACCCUUCGUUUUACACUUUUGUUUUUGGUUAUGUAGGUCUAACACGUAAUAAAACCACACAAAAGUCAAAGGUAUCGAAAAGUAUACUUACACUUAUAUGUACGGUAUAAAAGAUAACGUUCCACGGUCUCCUGUACAACGUCUCUCAUAAUGGUUAAUGUUAAGUUUGAAUGACCUCUGUCAAUGGUGAACGUUAAGUGUAAUAAUACAUAAACCAAACGAGUGAGAAAUAGGGGAGCAUGAACAACUACCAUAACGAGUAUGAUAUGAAAACCGGUUGUAACGUGCGUACUAAAGAUCGUUUCUUGUACACAAUAAGAACAAAUUUAUCCCUUGUACACUGUAAGAAAUAAAAAUAAACUUACCCUUGUAAAAAGACAAUUCUUGUAAAACAUUCCGGUAGUUUCUACGUGCAGUUUCCUCAUUCCGGUACGGGAAAACCGGCAGGUUACCUUUCGUUGUUUCACUUUGGUAAGAUACAGGAUUAAAAAAGAACGAAAUUUAUGAGAAUCGAAAUCGAUAUAGUCAGUUAUGCACGUGACUUGCUAUACUAAUGAUACUAAAAAAAAAACUCUUAAAUGAUACUCAGAUAAUACUUACCGUAACUCACAGUAACAGCAUAGGAAAAUGACUAAAAAGAAAUACCAUUAUUACUAUUUUUUCUUCGUAUAACACCACAUACUUUAUAAUAGCAUGAUGUUCUAUUAAAAUAUAAAAAUAUGGUAAAGGAGAAAUCAUAUG
rnacentral:rRNA from 1 species